AUUGAACGCUGGCGGCAGGCCUAACACAUGCAAGUCGAGCGGAUGAGAGGAGCUUGCUUCUCGAUUCAGCGGCGGACGGGUGAGUAAUGCCUAGGAAUCUGCCUGAUAGUGGGGGACAACGUUUCGAAAGGAACGCUAAUGCCGCAUACGUCCUACGGGAGAAAGCAGGGGACCUUCGGGCCUUGCGCUAUCAGAUGAGCCUAGGUCGGAUUAGCUAGUUGGUGAGGUAAUGGCUCACCAAGGCGACGAUCCGUAACUGGUCUGAGAGGAUGAUCAGUCACACUGGAACUGAGACACGGUCCAGACUCCUACGGGAGGCAGCAGUGGGGAAUAUUGGACAAUGGGCGAAAGCCUGAUCCAGCCAUGCCGCGUGUGUGAAGAAGGUCUUCGGAUUGUAAAGCACUUUAAGUUGGGAGGAAGGGUUGUAGAUUAAAACUCUGCAAUUUUGACGUUACCGACAGAAUAAGCACCGGCUAACUCUGUGCCAGCAGCCGCCGUAAUAC
rnacentral:rRNA from 1 species